UGGGGAAUAUUGGGCAAUGGACGGAAGUCUGACCCAGCGACGCCGCGUGAGGGAAGAAGGUCUUCGGAUUGUAAACCUUAAACAACAGGGACGAAAGAAAUGACGGUACCUGUUAGGAAGCCACGGCUAACUACGUGCCAGCAGCCGCGGUAAUACGUAGGUGGCAAGCGUUAUCCGGAUUUACUGGGUGUAAAGGGUGUGUAGGCGGAGAGGCAAGUCAGGCGUGGAAAUUACGGGCUCAACCCGUAACUUGCGCUUGAAACUGUUUCCCUUGAGUGUCGGAGAGGUAAAUGGAAUUCCCAGUGUAGCGGUGAAAUGCGUAGAUAUUGGGAGGAACACCGGUGGCGAAGGCGGUUUACUGGACGACAACUGACGCUGAGACACGAAAGUGUGGGGAGCAAACAGGAUUAGAUACCCUGGUAGU
rnacentral:rRNA from 1 species